GACGAGGAGCUUGCUCCUCUGACGUUAGCGGCGGACGGGUGAGUAACACGUGGAUAACCUACCUAUAAGACUGGAUAACUUCGGGAAACCGGAGCUAAUACCGGAUAAUAUAUUGAACCGCAUGGUUCAGUAGUGAAAGACGGUUUUGCUGUCACUUAUAGAUGGAUCCGCGCCGCAUUAGCUAGUUGGUAAGGUAACGGCUUACCAAGGCAACGAUGCGUAGCCGACCUGAGAGGGUGAUCGGCCACACUGGAACUGAGACACGGUCCAGACUCCUACGGGAGGCAGCAGUAGGGAAUCUUCCGCAAUGGGCGAAAGCCUGACGGAGCAACGCCGCGUGAGUGAUGAAGGUCUUCGGAUCGUAAAACUCUGUUAUUAGGGAAGAACAAAUGUGUAAGUAACUAUGCACGUCUUGACGGUACCUAAUCAGAAAGCCACGGCUAACUACGUGCCAGCAGCCGCGGUAAUACGUAGGUGGCAAGCGUUAUCCGGAAUUAUUGGGCGUAAAGCGCGCGUAGGCGGUUUUUUAAGUCUGAUGUGAAAGCCCACGGCUCAACCGUGGAGGGUCAUUGGAAACUGGAAAACUUGAGUGCAGAAGAGGAGAGUGGAAUUCCAUGUGUAGCGGUGAAAUGCGCAGAGAUAUGGAGGAACACCAGUGGCGAA
rnacentral:rRNA from 1 species